CAACUCAAGCAGGGCAUCAUUUUCUCUAAAGGUCAAAGGGGAGAAGGGUGAACGGGUGAGUACAUGUUCGUUGUUCAUUCCACAACACAAACUUAAACAUAAAUAAAACACCGCCAUCCUCUUCAUAAUUACAUGUUGAUGUGUGUUAAUUACUGGAGCAUUUAAUAUUUGAAACGAGCCAUUUUGUUAAUAAUGAGAUUGUUUUUAUGACUCGGUUGUUGUUUUAGUAGAUUAAAGGAUUAAAUCUAAUUAUUAAUAUCACAGAUCCGUCUCCGUGCUAUUCAUACUUUGCUUUUUUUCUUCCUGUUAUCUCUUUGAGAAGGCAACACAUGAAAGCGCUUGUCAUAUCAAAAGGACUCUUUUGAAUAACAAAUGAAAUGUGACAGGUCUUGCUAACAAGAUCAGCAUUGUUAUAGAUGCUUCCUUAUUUAUUUUUGUGAUAUGCAUCAAUGUGAAUGCGUGGAUUUAUAUUGCUCUAUAUUUGAUUUCAAAGCAAUAUGUGCACUGAAGAUGUUCUGUUAUAUAUGAGGAGUAUCAAACAUUUUCUGUGUAUUUGUGUAUAUUAUAUAAGGUACUAAUUCAAAUGCUUUUGCUUGUAUUAUUCCCACUCUGCACCCAUUCAUCAGGGUCUUCCCGGGACGUAUGGCAUCCCAGGGUUACCAGCGCGACCAGGUAGAACUGGACCCCCUGGUUCUCCUGGACAAAGGGGGCACCUGGAAUUCCUGGUGACAUGUGGCCUCCUGGUAAUACUUGACCGAAAGGACAGAGAGGAGAGAGAGUAAGUUUAGUCAUCGACAAGCAUUUGAUAUGUUGUAUGGUGGUUUUAUUUUACUUUAUUUUUUAAAUCAAGUUGACCUACUUUUUUCUUCAUGAAGGGCGAGCCAGGAUAUGUUAUGGGAGGUAUGGAGGUUCUUCCAGGACGUAAAGGAGAACCUGGAUCCUCUGGCGAGACUGGAGAAUCUGGUUCGAAAGGACCACGUGGAAAACCAGGACCCAAAGGAGAAAAGGGGGAGCAUGGAAGUAAUGUUUUAGGAGUUAGUCUCUCAAAGCUACUCUGUGUAUUAUUUAUUUAUUUAUUUUUUAUUUGA
ensembl:lncRNA